AGGGAUCAUUACACAAUAACAAGGCGGGCUGGACACCCCCCGCUGGGCACUGCUUCACGGCGUGCGCGGCGGGGCCGGCCCUGCUGAAUUAUUCACCCGUGUCUUUUGCGUACUUCUUGUUUCCUGGGUGGGCUCGCCCGCCCUCAGGACCAACCACAAACCUUUUGCAAUAGCAAUCAGCGUCAGUAACAACGUAAUUAAUUACAACUUUCAACAACGGAUCUCUUGGUUCUGGCAUCGAUGAAGAACGCAGCGAAAUGCGAUACGUAGUGUGAAUUGCAGAAUUCAGUGAAUCAUCGAAUCUUUGAACGCACAUUGCGCCCUUUGGUAUUCCAAAGGGCAUGCCUGUUCGAGCGUCAUUUGUACCCUCAAGCUUUGCUUGGUGUUGGGCGUCUUUUGUCUCCAGUUCGCUGGAGACUCGCCUUAAAGUCAUUGGCAGCCGGCCUACUGGUUUCGGAGCGCAGCACAAGUCGCGCUCUUCGCCAGCCAAGGUCAGCGUCCAGCAAGCCUUUUUUUCAACCUUUGACCUCGGAUCAGGUAGGGAUACCCGCUGAACUUAA
rnacentral:ncRNA from 2 species